rnacentral:rRNA from 1 species
GGUUAAGUUAGAAAGGGCGCACGGUGGAUGCCUUGGCACUAGGAGCCGAAGAAGGACGGGACUAACACCGAUAUGCUUUGGGGAGCUGUACGUAAGCGUUGAUCCAGAGAUUUCCGAAUGGGGGAACCCACUAUCUUUAGUCGGAUAGUAUCCUUACGUGAAUACAUAGCGUGAGGAAGGCAGACCCAGGGAACUGAAACAUCUAAGUACCUGGAGGAAGAGAAAGAAAAAUCGAUUUCCUGAGUAGCGGCGAGCGAAACGGAAAGAGCCCAAACCAAGAAGCUUGCUUCUUGGGGUUGUAGGACACUCUAUACGGAGUUACAAAAGAAAGUUAUAAAUGAAGCGGUCUGGAAAGGCCCGCCAAAGACGGUAACAGCCCGGUAGUUGAAAUGGCUUUCCCUCCAGAGUGGAUCCUGAGUACGGCGGAACACGUGAAAUUCCGUCGGAAUCCGGGAGGACCAUCUCCCAAGGCUAAAUACUCCCUAGUGACCGAUAGUGAACCAGUACCGUGAGGGAAAGGUGAAAAGCACCCCGGAAGGGGAGUGAAACAGUUCCUGAAACCGUGUGCCUACAAGUAGUUAGAGCCCGUUAAUGGGUGAUAGCGUGCCUUUUGUAGAAUGAACCGGCGAGUUACGAUUUGUUGCAAGGUUAAGCGGAAAAAGCGGAGCCGUAGCGAAAGCGAGUCUGAAUAGGGCGCAUAAGUAACAGGUCGUAGACCCGAAACCAGGUGAUCUACCCAUGUCCAGGAUGAAGGUAAGGUAAUACUUACUGGAGGUCCGAACCCACGCACGUUGAAAAGUGCGGGGAUGAGGUGUGGGUAGCGGAGAAAUUCCAAUCGAACUUGGAGAUAGCUGGUUCUCUCCGAAAUAGCUUUAGGGCUAGCCUCGAGGUAAAGAGUCAUGGAGGUAGAGCACUGUUUGGACUAGGGGCCCUUCUCGGGUUACCGAAUUCAGAUAAACUCCGAAUGCCAUGUACUUAUACUCGGGAGUCAGACUGCGAGUGAUAAGAUCCGUAGUCGAAAGGGAAACAGCCCAGACCACCAGUUAAGGUCCCCAAAUAUAUGUUAAGUGGAAAAGGAUGUGGGGUUGCUUAGACAACCAGGAUGUUGGCUUAGAAGCAGCCACCAUUGAAAGAGUGCGUAAUAGCUCACUGGUCGAGUGACCCCGCGCCGAAAAUGUACCGGGGCUAAACAUAUUACCGAAACUGUGGAUGAACCUCUUUAGAGGUUCGUGGUAGGAGAGCGUUCUAAGGGCGGUGAAGUCAGACCGGAAGGACUGGUGGAGCGCUUAGAAGUGAGAAUGCCGGUAUGAGUAGCGAAAGAAGGGUGAGAAUCCCUUCCACCGAAUAUCUAAGGUUUCCUGAGGAAGGCUCGUCCGCUCAGGGUUAGUCGGGACCUAAGCCGAGGCCGAUAGGCGUAGGCGAUGGACAACAGGUAGAGAUUCCUGUACCAGUGCUAAUUGUUUAACCGAUGGGGUGACACAGAAGGAUAGGGAAUCGCACGAAUGGAAAUGUGCGUCCAAGCAGUGAGUGUGAGAAGUAGGCAAAUCCGCUUCUCGCGAAGCAUGAGCUGUGAUGGGGAAGGAAAUUAAGUACGGAAGUUCCUGAUUUCACGCUGUCAAGAAAAGCCUCUAGGAAGAGUAGUACUGCCCGUACCGCAAACCGACACAGGUAGAUGAGGAGAGAAUCCUAAGGUGAGCGAGAGAACUCUCGUUAAGGAACUCGGCAAAAUGACCCCGUAACUUCGGGAGAAGGGGUGCUCUAUUAGGGUGCAAGCCCGAGAGAGCCGCAGUGAAUAGGCCCAGGCGACUGUUUAGCAAAAACACAGGUCUCUGCAAAACCGUAAGGUGACGUAUAGGGGCUGACGCCUGCCCGGUGCUGGAAGGUUAAGAGGAGUGCUUAGCUUCGGCGAAGGUACGAAUUGAAGCCCCAGUAAACGGCGGCCGUAACUAUAACGGUCCUAAGGUAGCGAAAUUCCUUGUCGGGUAAGUUCCGACCCGCACGAAAGGCGCAACGAUCUGGGCACUGUCUCAACGAGAGACUCGGUGAAAUUAUAGUACCUGUGAAGAUGCAGGUUACCCGCGACAGGACGGAAAGACCCCGUGGAGCUUUACUGCAACCUGAUAUGGAAUGUUUGUACCGCUUGUACAGGAUAGGUAGGAGCCGAAGAGACGUGUGCGCUAGCAUACGAGGAGGCAAUGGUGGGAUACUACCCUGGCUGUAUGACCAUUCUAACCCGCCACGCUUAGCGCGUGGGGAGACAGUGUCAGGUGGGCAGUUUGACUGGGGCGGUCGCC